GAUGAACGCUGGCGGCGUGCCUAAUACAUGCAAGUCGAGCGAACGGACGAGAAGCUUGCUUCUCUGAUGUUAGCGGCGGACGGGUGAGUAACACGUGGAUAACCUACCUAUAAGACUGGGAUAACUUCGGGAAACCGGAGCUAAUACCGGCUAUUUUUUUGAACCGCAUGGUUCAAAAGUGAAAGACGGUCUUGCUGUCACUUAUAGAUGGUUCCGCGCUGCAUUAGCUAGUUGGUAAGGUAACGGCUUACCAAGGCAACGAUGCAUAGCCGAACUGAGAGGGUGAUCGGCCACACUGGAACUGAGACACGGUCCAGACUCCUACGGGAGGCAGCAGUAGGGAAUCUUCCGCAAUGGGCGAAAGCCUGACGGAGAAACGCCGCGUGAGUGAUGAAGGUCUUCGGAUCGUAAAACUCUGUUAUUAGGGAAGAACAUAUGUGUAAGUAACUGUGCACAUCUUGACGGUACCUAAUCAGAAAGCCACGGCUAACUACGUG
rnacentral:rRNA from 1 species